UGGGGAAUUUUGGACAAUGGGCGCAAGCCUGAUCCAGCCAUGCCGCGUGCGGGAAGAAGGCCUUCGGGUUGUAAACCGCUUUUGUCAGGGAAGAAACGGCUUGAACUAAUAUUUCAAGCUAAUGACGGUACCUGAAGAAUAAGCACCGGCUAACUACGUGCCAGCAGCCGCGGUAAUACGUAGGGUGCAAGCGUUAAUCGGAAUUACUGGGCGUAAAGCGUGCGCAGGCGGCUUUGCAAGACAGGUGUGAAAUCCCCGGGCUUAACCUGGGAACUGCACUUGUGACUGCAUGGCUAGAGUGCGGCAGAGGGGGAUGGAAUUCCGCGUGUAGCAGUGAAAUGCGUAGAUAUGCGGAGGAACACCGAUGGCGAAGGCAAUCCCCUGGGCCUGCACUGACGCU
rnacentral:rRNA from 1 species